rnacentral:rRNA from 1 species
UAGGCGGACGGGUGAGUAACGCGUGGAAAACCUGCCGUAUACUGGGGGAUAACGACUUAGAAAUAGGUGCUAAUACCGCAUAAGCGCACAGCUUCGCAUGAAGCGGUGUGAAAAACUCUGGUGGUAUACGAUGGUUCCGCGUCUGAUUAGCUAGUUGGUGGGGUAAUGGCCUACCAAGGCAACGAUCAGUAGCCGGCCUGAGAGGGUGAACGGCCCACAUUGGGACUGAGACACGGCCCAAACUCCUACGGGAGGCAGCAG